UACGUAGGUGGCGAGCGUUGUCCGGAAUUACUGGGCGUAAGGGGUGCGUAGGCGGUUAUAAAAGUCAGAUGUGAAAUUCCGGGGCUCAACUUCGGAAUUGCAUUUGAAACUUUAUGGCUAGAGUGCAGGAGAGGGAAGCGGAAUUCCUAGUGUAGCGGUGAAAUGCGUAGAUAUUAGGAAGAACACCAGUGGCGAAGGCGGCUUUCUGGACUGUAACUGACGCUGAGGCACGAGAGCGUGGGGAGCAAACAGG
rnacentral:rRNA from 1 species